rnacentral:tRNA from 1 species
AAUACUAUAUUUUUUUAGUAGAUAAAAAAUUUAAAGAAAGUCUUUUUUAAAAAAAAAUUAAGAU